rnacentral:rRNA from 1 species
AGCGAACGCUGGCGGCAGGCCUAACACAUGCAAGUCGAACGAACCUUUCGGGGUUAGUGGCGGACGGGUGAGUAACCCGUGGGAACGUGCCUUUAGGCUCGGAAUAACUCAGGGAAACUUGUGCUAAUACCGAAUGUGCUCUUCGGGGGAAAGAUUAAUCGCCUUUAGAGCGGCCCGCGUCUGAUUAGCUAGUUGGUUGAGGUAAUGGCUCACCAAGGCGACGAUCAGUAGCUGGUAUGAGAGGAUGAUCAGCCACAUUGGGACUGAGACACGGCCCAAACUCCUACGGGAGGCAGCAGUGGGGGAUCUUGCGCAAUGGGCGAAAGCCUGACGCAGCCAUGCCGCGUGAAUGAUGAAGGUCUUAGGAUUGUAAAAUUCUUUCACCGGGGACGAUAAUGACGGUACCCGGAGAAGAAGCCCCGGCUAACUUCGUG